CAUCUCUCUUACUCAUACAUACAUAUAACAUAAUGUAAUACAACAUAUUAACAUAGUGACUGUGAAAAAGGGCGCUCCCAUGUUUGGGAGUCAAGAAAGUUUGCAAUUUGAAUGUCAUUGAUGUGCUUUUUCUUUUAUGUCUAAUUCAUUCUGUAUUUUCUUUUUCGCAGCACCGAAUGGACACCCUGUAGAAGCAGUCACCUUAUCACGGUGGAAGGGUUUGAGUGUCCCAAUGAUCCUCGGAGCUAAAUUGUCUGGGACUUCAUCCCCCUGACAGGGUAAGCAAUGGUAAACAAGUCCUUGGUUACCUGGGCCUUCCUGUGGAGCCAGGCCUGGAGGUGGGGCUCGAAGGUGAGUGUCUGUUGCUGGGCUCAGCCCAAAAAGACAAUGUGGGUCCCCCCUUAUCCCACCUAUAAGAGGGACCAAAGGGGUCGGGUGCAUCGUGAACUGGGUGGCGGCCAAAGGUGGGGACAUUGGCCAUGCUAGAGAAGCUGGCUCGAUGGACGUGGAAUGUCACCUCUCUGAUAGCCAAGCAGCCUGAGCUGGUGUUCGAGGCAGAGAAAGUUCUGAGUCGCCUCCUCACACAGCUUGGGCUUUGGAACUAGUCCUCUCGAGAGGGGUUGGACUCUCUUCCAUUCUGGAGUUGACCAGAGUGUGAGACAGAGAGCAGGUGUAGGCAUACUAAUUGCCCUCUGGCUUAGCGCCUGUACAUUGGGGUUCACUCCGGUGGAUGUGAGGGUAGCCUCGCCCCGCCUUCGGUGGGAACUGGGGGGGAUGGGUCGUAACUGUUGUUUGUGCUUAUGCACCAAACAUCAGUUCAGAGUACCCACCCUUUUUGGAUUCCUUGGAAGGAAUGCUGGAGAGCGCACUCCAUCUUUCUGCUCGAUGACUUUAAAUGACACUGAGAUCUUCUUGGCUUUAACAAUCUUCCCAUGUUGUUUGUACUUGGUCAAGAUUUUAAACACACCUGACCGUGAAUAACAAAAAUCUUUUGCAGCAAUGCAUGAUGAUUUAUCCAUACAUGCAUUAAUUUUCUGACCCACCUUAUCAUCACAAGGGUCGCAGGUGGUGCUGCAGCCUAUCCCAGCCGUCUUUGGGCAGUAGGCGGAAGACGGCCUGAACUAGUUGCCAACCAAUCGCAGGGCACCCAGAGACGAACAACCAUCUGCGCUCACAAAUAGGGACAAUUCAGAGUGUUCAAUCAGCCUGCCAUGCGUGUUUUCGAAAUGUGGGAGGAAACCGCAGUACCCGGACAUAAUCCACUCAGGCACGGGGACAACAGACAAACUCCACACAGGAAGGCCGGAGCUGGGAUCGAACCCAUGACAUCUGCACUGUGGUCGAUGCGCUCAACACUUGUCCACAGGGCCAUCCUAUGAUGAUUUACCUUCUUUGAGAUCAUCCUUUCCUUUCCUUUCCUUUGUUUUAGUUGACAGAGAUUGUUGGAGGCACAAUUCAGGUCAGUCCACUUGGUGCAACAGCUCUCCAGGGUGUGAUCCCUCCUGUUAACUGCAGACUCACAAAAAGAUUUAAUCCGGUGCAGGUGUUGGACAUUGAAAUUUACAGAGUGAUUCCAUCUUUCCCCACCUCAGAAUUGAGUGAUUCCAUCUUCUUUUCAAUCUGCCUGGUAAAAAAAGUUUCAUGGUUACUGACUGAUUUUUUUUCUUGAUUUCUUUUAGUGUUUCCUAUAGCCAGAAAGUUGCCAUUUGAAAUGAAUUUAUCAUUGUGUAAUAACUGCAAGCGGCUUUUUUUCUCUACAAAUUGAACAACUGAAUGAGCAUCCUCUGAAAUUGCUGAUUCCAUGCCUUUUCCAAGAGGUUGUAUGCUGUUUGUACUGUAUAUAUGUACACUCAUGCCAGCAACCCAAGUAUGUAUUUGAAAUUGGUUUUAGCCACACCCCAAAUAUUCGGACCACUGAAAUGCUGAAAACGAUUUCAGCGCUUUAUCUCAACAAUUCAGAACAAAAUAGUUUUCAGUCUUUGCGUGUGUUCAACAUUUGAAAAGUUGACAUGCUACUGAACCAUUUAUCCCCACCAAUUCAGAAAUGAUGCCGAUACCUCCCUGAUGAUGAGCUACUAUUCAA